GACGAACCGUGCGAACGUUGUUCGGAAUCACUGGGCUUAAAGGGCGCGUAGGCGGGUGUGCAAGUCUGUGGUGAAAGCCUCCAGCUUAACUGGAGAAGUGCCGUGGAUACUGCACAUCUUGAGGAGGGUAGGGGCAUCUGGAACGGUCGGUGGAGCGGUGAAAUGCGUUGAUAUCGACCGGAACUCCGGUGGCGAAGGCGGGUCUCUGGACAGUUCCUGACGCUGAGGCACGAAGGUCAGGGGAGCAAACGGG
rnacentral:rRNA from 1 species